rnacentral:rRNA from 1 species
AUUGAACGCUGGCGGCAGGCCUAACACAUGCAAGUCGAGCGGAUGACGGGAGCUUGCUCCUUGAUUCAGCGGCGGACGGGUGAGUAAUGCCUAGGAAUCUGCCUGGUAGUGGGGGACAACGUUUCGAAAGGAACGCUAAUACCGCAUACGUCCUACGGGAGAAAGCAGGGGACCUUCGGGCCUUGCGCUAUCAGAUGAGCCUAGGUCGGAUUAGCUAGUUGGCGGGGUAAUGGCUCACCAAGGCGACGAUCCGUAACUGGUCUGAGAGGAUGAUCAGUGAAACUGGAACUGAGACACGGUCCAGACUCCUACGGGAGGCAGCAGUGGGGAAUAUUGGACAAUGGGCGAAAGCCUGAUCCAGCCAUGCCGCGUGUGUGAAGAAGGUCUUCGGAUUGUAAAGCACUUUAAGUUGGGAGGAAGGGCAGUAAGUUAAUACCUUGCUGUUUUGACGUUACCGACAGAAUAAGCACCGGCUAACUCUGUGCCAGCCGCCGCCGUAA